GACGAACGCUGGCGGCGUGCCUAAUACAUGCAAGUCGAACGCAGUGGGGACGGGUGAGUAACACGUGGGUAACCGCCCAUAAGAGGGGAGAAAACUUGGAUACUGGUGCUAAACCGAUACUGAUGGAUGGACCCGAGGGGAAUUAGCUAGUUGGAGAGGUAACGGCUCACCAAGGCCACGAUGCAUAGCCGACCUGAGAGGGUGACCGGCCACACUGGGACUGAGACACGGCCCAGACUCCUACGGGAGGCAGCAGUAGGGAAUCUUCGGCAAUGGACGAAAGUCUGACCCAGCAACGCCGCGUGAGUGAAGAAGGUUUUCGGAUCGUAAAACUCUGUUGUUAGAGAAGCGUUAUCUAACCAGAAAGCCACGGCUAACUACGUGCCAGCAGCCGCGGUAAUUC
rnacentral:rRNA from 1 species